rnacentral:rRNA from 1 species
AUUGAACGCUGGCGGCAUGCCUAACACAUGCAAGUCGAGCGGAGCGGCGGACGGGCGAGUAAUGCCUAGGAAUCUGCCUGGUAGUGGGGGAUAACGUCCGGCAACGGGCGCUAAUCCAGCAUACUAUCAGAGCAGCCUAGGUCGGCUUAGCGCGUUGGUGGGGUAAAGGCCUACCAAGGCGACGAUCCGUAACUGGUCUGAGAGGAUGAUCAGUCACGUUGGAACUGAGACGCGGUCCAGACACGUACGGGAGGCAGCAGUGGGGAAUAUGGGGGAAUGGGCGAAAGCCUGAUCCAGCCAUGCCGAGUGAGGGAAGAAGGUCUUCGAAUUGUAAAGCACUUUAAGUUGUGAGGCGUUACCAACAGAAUAAGCACCGGCUAACUUCGUGCCAGCAGCCGCGGUAAUAC